rnacentral:piRNA from 1 species
UGUUGCAUGUCUAGUAAGGGAAUUACCUA